rnacentral:lncRNA from 1 species
GAAUGGUGUGGUGAUUAGCAUCUUCCUGUGUGGUGAGCAUCUGCUGUGUGCCCAGAGCAGUGCUAGGAGCCGAGAUAUCGUGAGGAACAAGACGAUCAAGCAGACGGUCCUGCAGAGGAGAGAACACUAAGUCUGUGCACAAUCACUGCGAUGGUUUGGGGCGCUGGCUAGUUCCCACAAGAAUGAGUUGUUCUGGAAUGGGAGAACCUGCUUCCUGAGUCUCUGGCUUCCUGUCUGGCCUUGUGGCUCCUCCUCGCACAUGCUCCUACAAGCGAUGCCGUCUUCCAUGUUGUGGUGCGGCCAGUCCGCGCUGGAACCAGCAAAGGUCAGCACCACAAGCUAAAUAAACCUCUGUAUACGUUACCCAGCUUUGUAAUAGGGAAAAAAGUUACUUUCCUCCAAUUCUGUUGUUGGUAGCCUAUGAGCAUGUAUUCCAGUCACUUGAUUAUAUUCAAUAAUUGUAUUGUUGCCUGGGCUGGCCAGGACCAGCAUAUACCUCCGUUUCCUUCUUCCUGUUUCUGGAAAGGUUCACCCACACCCGUUUCUUCCUCUCCUUUUGCGGAAGUCUUUCACCUGCCAGCUCUGGCAGCUGGGGGAGGGUCCCUGAGGAGCACCGUGAGCAGUCCCGUUCUGCUGGCACUUCCAGUUGCUCUGAGUGUGUCCUUGGGCUCACAUCUGUGGAAUCGCAAGAGUUUUGAGGCUAAAAGCGGAUUCUACCCGUUUAUCAUCUCCCCGGAGUUCUUGUUUCUGGAUGGAUCCUCCUGGUUUCCCCUGGAGGUGCUCCUGGCACAGCUACAUCAAUUGGAGGACAUGCGGUGCUUCCCUGAGAUAGCUGCAACUAUGGAAACUGCCCCCGUGACAGAGCCAGCCUCUCAGAACUCGGAACCCUCCAUCACCACCCUGGGCACACCUUCAGAAAAUCAGACUCAGCCACGCUAA